GGGGCUGUAGCAGGUCCCAAGGGUAUGGCUGUUCGCCAUUUAAAGUGGUACGCGAGCUGGGUUCAGAACGUCGUGAGACAGUUCGGUCCCUAUCUGCCGUGGGCGUUGGAAACUUGAGGGUGAGCUGCUCCUAGUACGAGAGGACCGGAGUGGACGUAUCUCUGGUGUUCCGGUUGUCACGCCAGUGGCACUGCCGGGUAGCUAUAUACGGACGGGAUAACCGCUGAAAGCAUCUAAGCGGGAAGCCCCCCCCAAGAUUAGGUUUCCCUGGGGACUCGAUCCCCCUGAAGGGCCGUCGGAGACUACGACGUUGAUAGGCUGGGUGUGUAAGUGCAGUAAUGCAUUGAGCUAACCAGUACUAAUUGCCCGUGCGGCUUGACCAUAUAACACCCAAUGCGCUUGGG
rnacentral:rRNA from 1 species